UAUCGUCCGGGAUUCAUACCAAACCGCACUUUGAACGGGAUUGAACGGUCCUGGGCGACGGAGAAACGUCUCUCGAUACUUUCUCCCCGAAUUCGCGCCCGCUGAGCUCCAGAGUGAAACCGGAAGCGGUAAAUAUCGGAUCACAUCCCUGAUCUAGGAGCCCCUAGCAUGGCACGAACUCUAGCCUCUGUCUUUGAAGUGCCGGCUAAGAUGACCCCAAACGUGCUGAGCGUUCAAAGCAAUGCUAGACCGCUGUAGACGGAGACGAUCAGGUGUGUGAGAGACCAGCUGCACCACGAAGAAGAGCAGAAGUCUGGAUACUGAUGGCUACUGUUUGGCCGGUUUUUGUCCGUGAACGGCUGUCGGGGGAGGAUGAGCCUCUACUGCAGUCUACUCAGGUGUCUUCAAAAGAUGCAGGUGACAUCAGAAAUCGUCAUUUUACAGACCGCAACAUUUUGUAUGUCGACUAUUAAAUGCACUUUUUUUAAGCACAAUUCACUGUUGUGAAUUUUUGAAAAUGAGCUUUCGUGCAUUAAAAGCUCACAAACUCUGCCGUGAAAUGCGGAAAAGGUUCGGAAAAAUGUAUAAUUGACUGAAUCGUUUGGGAGUUGUUGAAAAAGUAAGGUAUAAAUAAAUGCAUGUUAUAAGUGUUUUUUGAUCUUGCACGCUUGUCAACCUGCAAUUUGGUCCCAAAACCAAAAUACUAUCUUUUCAUAACCAACAAUAGAGGCGCUUUAAGCAACUCAAAAACAUGACAUUUCAACUUAAAAUAAUUUUAGAUACAAAGAUCAGAAGAAUAGCUUUUUAUUUUGAAAUUGAAAUUAUUUUUGUAACCGUAUAAAUGGUCAGUUUUGGUCAAUCUGGUGCAUCCUUGCUGAAUAAAAGCAUUCAUUUCUGAAAUCUGCUGAAUAUGCUGAAUCAUCAGGGUAAUGCAAUUUACUUGAAAAUAUGGCAAGUCUAAAA